UACACACACUCGCACACUACUUUCUCUUUGUCUCUAUGUGCAUACACAUGCACACACUCUUCAGCAGUAAUUCCCCCUCCCACUCUCAUUACUACCAACACCAUCAUUAAUGUGAUGUGUACAUGUCCACAAAAGAGGCUGGAUUCCUCCUCAAAAUACACAAUUUGAUCUUUGCUAACCCUUGGCACAUUGAAUUGGCAGGCUCAUUAGAGUGUCAGGAAAAAUGCUUUGUGAUAUUUGUUCUGGCUCUUUAUCUUCUGAGUUCAAAUCCUGCCAAGGUCAACUUUGCCUUUCAUCCCUACAGGGUCGAUAAAAUAAAGUACCAGUCAAGUGCUGGGGUCAAUGGUAUUGACUGGCCCCUGCCCUCAAAACUUCUGGCCUUGUGCCUAAAUAAGAAACAUUAUGUUAUUAUCAUAAUAAUCCCACUGGGUCAGUUUUGUCUUCCAUUCUUCCUGGGUCUAUUCUACAAAACGAGUACCAGUUAAAUACUGAGGUUGAUUGGAUUGACUACAUCCUCCUUCCAAAGGCCUGGCCUUGUGCCUGUGUUAGAAGUUAUCAUCAUUAUUAUUAUUAUUGUUGUUGUUAAUGUUGUGAAUAAAGUGCUACAAGUUAAAAAUAUAAGAAAAAAUCCCCCCCCCCCAAAACUUGUGGUGGUGUUUGGGAAGAGGUGCAGUUGUCGACUCCCUCCCUAAAAAAAAAAAACAACGAACAUAUUAUUUGAAAAAUACCUUAACAUAGAGGUGAGUGUGUUGCAGUGGUUGAUGUGGAAAGGUGCAGGGUGCUCUUGGCUCUGUUGAUCAAUGUGCCCUUGAGUAAGGGAGGGAUAGGGAACAAUACCUCCUCUCUUUCCUCCCUCAUUUCUCUUUCUCUCUCUUUUCUCUUUCUCCUCUCUUUCUCUCUCUCCUCCCCCCCUCUCUCGCUUUGUAAUUAAUUCUAACUGACAGUGAUGAUGAGGAGAAUGAAGACAAUGAUUCAUGAUAGUGCUGUGAUAGAUCAUUGAGGUUUAAGUAAAAAUAGUAAGUUAAUAAUAAUAGUUAUAAUAAUAUUGUUGAUAAUAACUGUAUUGAAGAUGGAAAUAAUCAUAAUAAUAAUGAUUUGUUUAAUAAUAAUAAUAAUAAUAAAGAUAAUAGUAACAGUGGUUUGUAGGACACAAAAGUGUUUUUCCUUUUUUAAUUUGUUGAUGAAACCCCCACCUUCCUGUGGAAUGUCCAUAAAGUUAGGGUUCUCAACCAGUGACCACUUGGCUGUAACCAUCUUUUUUUUUUUUUUUCAAUUUUUUCAGUUUUUCAUUUUGUCAGUUCUCCACAGUUUUCUCUUCCUUGCUCCAUUCUACCAUCUUUCACUCUUUGCUUUUGGUUUCUCCAUCGAUAAACCACUAACCCUCCCAAGUAUCACCUCCUCCUCCUACCUGUUCAUUCUUUCUUCCUGGCUCAGCUUUACUCAUCUUAGCAUUGUACCCCCUCUCAUUUUUUUUCUAUGGUGUCACCCUGUUAUCUCUUUGAACUAGACUGUAACCAUUGAAUCUCUUGCUUCAGUUCAGCCCACCAUUAUGGGCCUGUUUGAUUCACAACAGGUUUGUGACAACAACAACAAAAAAAUGUCCACUUAUCUAUUCCUCCAGCAUUCAACUGACCCACCACCAUUCCAUGUCAUAAUUAAAAAUGAACAAAGAUAAAACUGCUUCAUAAUUAAAAGAAGGUGACUGGCAGCAGAACUGUUGUUGCCCCUUUUCACUUUUAUCUUCUACCUUUACCCUGUCAUCUCCUACUUAAACCCUCCUGCCUCAUUCCAUAUUGCUCUGUCCCCUACCUUCAUUUCUCUCUGUCUUUUCACUCCCUUCCCCAGUUUUGCUUACCCUUUCAUUACUUUCUUCACACUGCUGUCAUCUUCAACUCUUCUAUCCAUGCUGCACUCCCCAGUCCCUCCUCUGUAUCUUUUUUUGGCCCCUUCUAAUCACCAUUAAUCUGUCAGCCAUAUAUCUCUUUAGAUGCUGAUAUUUUUUUCUUUUACAAAACAUAACUUCCAUUCCAACCAGUUUAUCGCUCUAUCAAUGUGGACUAUCUUGGUUAAUCAAUUGUAAUUAUUUCUAAUUACUGCACCUUAUUAGAGUGGUAGCAGCUGGCAGAUGUUAAUUGUGGAGGGGUAGGUCUAUGAGCUGUAGGUCACUGGUUCAUUAAUGAUGACAGCACUAUAUUGUGUCUACAUCCAAGACACUGAACUCAUCUUAAUGGUCCAGUUUACCUUGCUGUAUGGAUUUUCAGCUGGAACACUGUAAAACUGAUGAAUGCUUUACAUGCAAUGCUGAAUUCUUGCAAUGGGUUUUCCCAUGGAGAGGCCACAGCCCCUGACAAACUGAUAUAUGGCAUAAAGACAAAACCCUUCGGUGGUGACCCAUAACACCCUUUACAUUAUGGGAUUCCAUUGUUACUACUUUUUCAUUUCUAUUUCUGCCAACCUGUUGAUCAGGACAGAGUUAGAAUAUCCAUGACAAUCCAUACCCCUCUCUCCCUGUCCCUUUCUUUCCCCCUCAUUUACUUUUUUUUUUUAAUGUAUCAUGUUUUAGAAUGAUUGUUGUUGUUAAUGUUGUUGUAACAGUUUGUUGUUUUAUAUAUUCCAGCAAUACUACAUUUUCUAGUUCGGUUGCUGAGCAGAUCUGGAUUAGAAUAAAAAUAGCUAAUCAAAGUAUUAGUAACAGUUCACAGCAUACAUACAUACACACACACACACACACACAUGCAUAUAUCUUUGCAAUUUGCAAGCCAAUCAUCACUGGUGCUAGUGCCAUUGAAAAAGCACCCAGUACACUCAAUAAAGUGGUUGACAUUAGGAGGGGCAUCUAGCCAUAGAAACCAUGGCAUAGUCCUCCAACUUGUCAAACACUGUAAAAUAGUCCGCUCCAUGCUAGCAUGGAAGCCAGACAUUAAAUGAUGGUGAGGAGGAUGGGGAUGAUAUAGCUCUAAAAUUAUAGUUUAGAGUAUUAAAUUUUGGGUGGAACUUUACCAUUCACUCAGUAUUCUACGUAUUGUCAUACAGUGGUCAGACAUAUUAAGGGAUGUGGAAUUUUACUCACUUUAAGGUAGUAACGGACUCUGUAGACACUUUGUUAAUUUAUGCAAUACUCAAAGAAGAGUUUUUGAGAAUAAUUUGACUGUAAUUAUAUUGAGCUGGUGAAGCAAAUGCAGAGAAACUCAUAAAAUAUUCAUAUGGUCUCUAUUGUAACCCUUUAACUUUCAGAUCAUUCUGUCAAGUGCAAUCUUUAUUCACAUCAUUUUGAAUUUAUCAGCCAUUAUCUGACAACUUAAAGAUUUUGAUAAUGUGAUUGUUUAUUUUUAGAAUGGUUAGGUGUGACAGGCUUGAUUUGGCUGAAUUUAGCGUAAACCAGUUAGAAUAUUUGGGUUGGAUGUGGCCAUUUUAAAUGCUAAAGGACUAGGUUUUAGAAGAAUUGCGGAAGGAGAUUUAGCUGUUGUAUUUAAUAUAUCAGUCAGACAAUAAAAAAAAAGACUUCUUGUUGAUUCAAAUGGCACUCGUAAAUGAUUUAUUGGCUCCGGUAUUGAGUUGUUAUAGUUCUGAGUAAAGAGCAGUUCAGUUACUUCCUCUAGCUUUAUGGAAGCUUCUUGAUUGGUUUGUGUGUGUGGUACAGCCUUGUUCAGCUGUGUUUAGGUUGUGACCAAUGGUUUGGUGAGGUAUUAGACGAUGGAGAGUCAGAAGUUGUAUUCUGUCACCACUGCUACUUUUGUUGCUGUUACCAUGUAAAAAAGGAAAGCCUAAUAUCAGCCUGCAUUAGUCAGAUAUGUACAGUUGUGGUAAUGCUUGUAUAUUCGGGUUGUAUGUGCGUAUGUUUAUACACACAUACAUGUAUGUGUGUAUGUGUAUAUGAGUGUAUAUAUUUAUAUGUAUGUGCAUGUGUGUAUGAAUGUGUAUCUCUUUCCUAUCAAGUGUUAAACUCCACUAAUUUAUGACAAUGGUUAGGGGUUUGUCCUAAUUUUAAAUGUUUAUAGUAUAAAAAUAUACUCAAAUAGAUUACAAAGCGGAAAGGUAGUGAUGAACAUUUUAUUCUCAAUGUAUUCUGACUCCACUUUGGUAGGGCAUGUUUGAUAUAUGAACUUUCUUUAACUUCAUAAUGAACAUUCCAAAUUUUGAACUGGCUUUCAUCUGAGAACUUUACAAAAAAAAAAAAA